rnacentral:lncRNA from 1 species
UUCUCUUCUCCAACAAAAAAUUACAGCAAAGAAACACCAUUUUCGGAGCUUCAACACUCGGCCAUAUCUCCCUUGCAUGUAGGUGCGUUUUUGUCCCAUUUUUGUUGAUUUUUAUGUUUUGGGAUCGUUGUAGCUUAACCUAGUUAAUUAGGGGACUAAUUUGCAAAACUAUGGAAUAGUUUGAGAUUUUCCAUUGAUGAAAAUGUUAGGGUUUUGAAGUUUAAUGGAAGAAAAUGAAUCUUUGUUGUUAGUUAAAUAUUUUUUGUUAAGUGAUUUUUAAUGAAAUUAUCAAUUAGGGGUUAAAUUGAGAAAUAUAAAAAUUUUGGGUUAAAUGUGCUAAAUUGUGAAAUGUAUGAGCUUCUUUGAGCAUAUAUAAUUUUCAGCUAGGCUUGGGUGCAGUGAAAUUUCAGGAAUUUUUAUUUUACGAGCUUAAAAACUAAAUUGUAAAAAGGUCAAAAGUAUAGGGGAAAAAUGUUAAUUUUGUCAUAAUAUGAAAAUUUAUUGAAUUGAGUAGAAUAAUGAUUAAAUGAGUUAAAUUUGAUUAUAUAGAUCAAGAAAAAUGACGUAUGGAAUUAGAUAGAGGAAAAGACAAAGUUAUCGAUUAAACGAUCGUUUUUCGUCGUACGAGUUCGAGGUAAGUUCGUAUGUUAAUAAGCACUAUUAUCAUUGAGAUUUAGUGCUUUAUAUUUGAAUUGUUGAAGGAUACAAUUGUACAGAAGUAUUUGACGGAAAUUCGGGCCAUGAUAUUAUCACUUCGGGUGCGAGUCAUAUUGAUUUGGCUUCGGGCCAUGAUAUUAGCACUUCGGGUACGAAUUAAAUUGAUUUGGCUUCGGGCCAUGAUAUUAGCACUUCGGGUGCAAGUCAUGUUGAUUUGACUUCGGCCAUGAUAUUAUUACUUUGGGUGCGAGUUAUAUUGAUUUGGCUUCGGGCCAUGAUAUUAGCACUUCGGGUGCGAGUUAUAUUGAUUUAGCUUCGGGCCAUGAUAUUAGCACUUUGGGUGCGAGUCAUAUUGAUUUGGCUUCUGGCCAUGAUAUUAGCACUUCGGGUGCGAGUUAUGUUGAUUUGGCUUCGGGCCAUGAUAUUAGCACUUGGAGUGCGAGAUACAUUGAGUUGGUUUCGGGCCAUGAUAUGGGCACUUAGGAUGCGAGACUCCCGAAUAUCCGAUUUCUAUUCCAAAUGGUUCAACGGUAAAUUAAAUAUGUGAAAUGGUGAAAAAUAAAUACGCAUCAAUACAGGUAUGUACGGAAGGCUAUACGAUCAUUGGAACUAAGGAAGUUGUGAACAUUAUGAGAAAUUAUGUGAUUGAAUUUAUGUUAACCUUGUUAUUAAUUUGUUGGUGAAUAUCAUAUUCAUAUUAUUUGAAUGGUAUAUAUAUUUAUGACAUAUGAAUACAUGAUGAACUUAGUUGUGGUUAAAUUCAUAUAAAUAGAAGGAAAGAUAGACAAAUGCCUUAAUUAGAAUUGCUAUCAAAGCAUGGAAAAUAGUAUGAGUUAUUAGAUGGUAAAAAUAUGCUUAUACACAUGCCUGAAAAUGUGAAUGCACUAAGAAGUGUGUACUUAUGCUAUGUUGUUUUGAGAUGGGUUACUAAUUUAUGUGAUAAUUAAAAUUGAAAGGUUAAUGUUGUUUAGACCAAGGCCAAGAUAUAUUGAAUUGACUAAAGUGAAUUAUGCUUAUAAAUUGAAGUAGUAAGCUUUAUUUUUGAAUUACGAACUUACUAAGUAUUUCAUGCUUACUUUGUGCUAAUUUCUUUGUGUGCUUAGAUAUCGGAAGCUCGUUCGGGUUGGAAGAUGGUGGAGAUUUCAUCACACUAUCUAUCGGCUAUUUUGGUAUUGUGGUUUUAUAAUUUCGGUUAUAAUGGCAUGUAUAGGUCGUUUUGGCUAAUGAUAGCCUACAUGUUUUGUUAUGUUUUUUGUCAUUUGAUUUGGCUUGUAUCUGAGAUAUUAUUAUGCAUGUUAUUUGUGUAAAUGGCUUUAUUAUAUUCAGUCGCGGUUGUGAAGUGGUGUUUCGAUAUCAAAUGGUUGAAUUUGAUAAGUGACAUACAUGCUAAGUUUUAGGCACAAUGAGGCAUAUUUGUUUUUGAUCAUUUAGGUAUAUUUUGGAAAGCAUAAUUGGUAUGUGUUAAAGUGGUCAAUGGAUGUGAUUAUGAGUAUCAUGUUGUAUGUGUGAA